rnacentral:rRNA from 1 species
UGGGGAAUAUUGGACAAUGGGGGGAACCCUGAUCCAGCCAUGCCGCGUGUGUGAAGAAGGCCUUAUGGUUGUAAAGCACUUUAAGCGAGGAGGAGGGUACUGGUAUUAAUACUACCAGCUACUGGACGUUACUCGCAGAAUAAGCACCGGCUAACUCUGUGCCAGCAGCCGCGGUAAUACAGAGGGUGCGAGCGUUAAUCGGAUUUACUGGGCGUAAAGCGUGCGUAGGCGGCUAAUUGAGUCGGAUGUGAAAUCCCCGAGCUUAACUUGGGAAUUGCAUUCGAUACUGGUUAGCUAGAGUGUGGGAGAGGAUGGUAGAAUUCCAGGUGUAGCGGAGAAAUGCGUAGAGAUCUGGAGGAAUACCGAUGGCGAAGGCAGCCAUCUGGCCUAACACUGACGCUGAGGUGCGAAAGCGUGGGGAGCAAACAGG